UACGGAGGGUGCAAGCGUUAUUCGGAAUUACUGGGCGUAAAGAGCGCGUAGGUGGCUUAUUAAGUCUGAUGUGAAAGCCCUGGACUCAAUCCAGGAAGUGCAUUGGAUACUGAUAAGCUAGAGUACAGGAGAGGAAAGCGGAAUUCCAGGUGUAGAGGUGAAAUUCGUAGAUAUCUGGAGGAACAACAGGGGCGAAGGCGGCUUUCUGGACAGUUACCGACGCUGAGGCACGAAAGCUAGGGGAGCAAACAGG
rnacentral:rRNA from 1 species